rnacentral:rRNA from 1 species
GCCGAACCGAGCGAACGUUGUUCGGAAUCACUGGGCUUAAAGGGCGCGUAGGCGGGCUGUCAAGUCGGGGGUGAAAUCCCACGGCUCAACCGUGGAACUGCCUCAGAUACUGACGGCCUCGAGGGAGGUAGGGGCGAGCGGAACGGGUGGUGGAGCGGUGAAAUGCGUUGAUAUCACUCGGAACUCCGGUGGCGAAAGCGGCUCGCUGGACCUUUUCUGACGCUGAGGCGCGAAAGCUAGGGGAGAAAACGGG